CAGCACAGACUGAUGAACGUGCAUGUUCUCUGCUGCUUGUGAUGUGGUCUCAGGAAGAAAAUGUAUCUUCCAGCCACAAGGGACUUGUUCACAUUGUCACAAGGACCCAUCACAAAUAUCCUUCCAUUGAUUUGAGCAGUCUCUCUUCUGAUUGUCAUUGAAUUUUAAGUAGCAAAUCCCUGGGUGGAUCCUUCAUCCCUCCCUUUGUUUGGAAAGGCAGGAAAAUGGGAUCUGCUGUGUAUCUAACAUAUUCAUGUGGAGGGUUUCCUCUGGGGGCUCUCCAGAGCUGAAGACUCCAUGCAAGGGUUUCUGCAAGGCUUUCAUCCAGGUGAAUUUGGGCAAGUCUUUCUUUGCACUAGCAUUAUCCCAUCUGGCUUCAAAUUCAGGAUGUGAACACUGAAACUUGAUACUUGGGCUAGAAACCUGAACUGGAACUUAAAUCCUGCAUGGUCCCUCCCAGGCAUUCCCUGCUAUUGAUGAAGGAAUGGCAGAAUGGAUACAACCAUAUGAGAGGCAGCAAGUUACUCCUCCUCUGAACACUUAAUUUUGCUCUGUGUUGUGCUCGCUAUCACAUUUAAAUAUAAUAAAUACAUAGUUAUUCCUGAGGCA
rnacentral:lncRNA from 1 species